GGGCCAGGAGGAGGAGCAGGCAGGGAGGCUGCUGGUGCCUUUGGCUCAGCCAGUGGGGCUCUCAGCCCUCUGGAGUGUGCCCUAGGGACCAGUUUGUCCAUGCCCCUGCCUCCAGGCCAGUCACUAGGACCAACAGAUGUCCCAAGGAAGACACCGGCCAUGACUGCAUCCUGGAACCAUAUCAAGGUGUCAUUGUUUCCGAUGUUACUUUACGUUUUGAAAAAUAAAGCUACUGCAUUUUGCAGGUGAACAGUCUCAGACUGCAAAGCAAGUCAGCACUACCACAGAGGGAAUCCCAAACUCGCUGCUGAGAACAGAACAGCUGUGCCCUCGCCGACUGGGACCCGAGUGACAUCUACUGGAGCAAGCAGGGGCUGCACGUGAGCAGGCAGCCAUUCGGUCACUCCCCGUCAUUCCAACACAAUCGAAUUUGUGUAGAAAAUUUACAUGCAUCAUAGGCUAUUUAUGAAUAUAUGCACACGUAGAAAGAGGAAAAAUACGCUUGGAAAUGGUAAACAUAACUUCAAGAUAGUAGUUACCCUUGGGUUCGGUAGGGGUGAAGGAGUGGUAAGGGUUUUAGUUUUAUCUUUAACCAUUUCUUUUUUCACUUACUUAUUUGUAGAGAUGGGAGUCUCACUAUGUUGCCCAGGGUAGUCCUGGUCUCAAGCAAUCCUCCCACCUUGGCUUCCCAAAAUGCUGGGAUUACAGGCGUGAGACACCAUGCCUGGCCACAAUUUGGUUUCUCUUUCAAAAGAUCCGAUACCAGUGUGCCAAAGUAUUGACAUCUAUUAAAUCUUUCAGGUGGUCCUACUGAGGUCUGUUUUUCUGUGCUUAUCUCUAAGUUUAAAAUCGUUCAUAAUAAACAUAUAGUUUAUAUUAAUAGUAAUAAUAUACAGUAUAUAUUAUACU
rnacentral:lncRNA from 10 species